ACGCUCUUCUAGUGUGUGCACUAAUAGGUCUCUGGAAUACAUCUGGUGUUGGUGGCUCCGGACCCUAAGGCUUGGAGCAAGACCGCUCUAUAGAAAGACUGCAUAAAGGAGUAUCUGGUUGAACUCUUAACUUUUGUUCCUCGUUUUUGCUUUGGAUAUCAUUAAGUGAUGGGAAAAGGAGGGUUCUGGCAGAAGAAAGGUGAGGAAAAUUAGGAAUGUACGGAUGUACAGCUGGAGGACGACUACCAUCGCGGACCUGGAGUUAGAGACAUCACGAGCUCCAAGGAAGGAAUGAUUGAUGUAACAACUACAAUGAACCAUCCCAGUGGGACACCUGAAAUUGUACGGAACUAUUUCCAUCAGCACAGAACAAAGAGCUGAGGGCUCUAAGAGCAGGAGAUGGCAUGCAGCACCACAGGAGACCAAACAGCAAUGUGUUAUAAAUAGAACCUCCGUUUGUCCUUUCUGAGCUUUCAAUAACUGUGAUAUUCCCAACCUUAAGGUUGAUAGAUGAUGAGUUUACCCUGAUAGAUGAUGAGUUUACCCUAUAUACAAACAUAUUAUAAUAUUCAUAUAUCUAUGUAUGUGUUUUAAUGUUUUCUAGUCCUCCAGAGGCAGUCCAAAUAUACAUUACAUUAAACUACAACUAAGCCACACCAGGGCAUGCAAAAAGAUGCCUAAAGGAUGCUCCCAACAAGUAGCAUGCAGGAUUGCUGCAGGGCUGUCCCUCAGCAGCCUGGAACAUCACACGCCUCUCCACAUGCACAGCAGUGCUUUGCAGGUAUAUCUCACAGCUCCUGGCUUGGCCUCCAGCCAUUACCCAACUCAGAUUCCUUCCUGAAAAGCGCUGGCACACACAUUGGAUAGAUAUAGUUUCUAAGUAUGCAAAAGGCACACACAUGCACCAGUGAAGUUAUGAACCUUGUAGACUGAGGAAAGCGAUACUGUAUUACACAUAUGAAAGCAAAGUAGUAUAUUUGAGUAUGCAUGAAGCAUAGAUAUCUUUGAAAUAUGUGAUAGUAUAUGGGCUCUGGAGUGCAAAGGCAGGUCCAGGGGUGUCACUAUGGAAAACAUCAGGGGUGGGUCAUUAAGAAGCUGUUUGCGUUGGCACUGCUGAAGUGUUGAAUGGAGCCUAUGCCUCUUCUCAGACAGAAGUUCUGUGACAACUUGAAGUGUUUCUGUGACAGAUCCAAGAACAGCAAGCCUUUCUCAGCACAAAGUACACCUGAACUGACAGCCUGCAGUCAGUCAGUGUAUGAAUGGGAGCUGUGUAACUGAUGGAUAUCUGUACUUGCACCAUUAAGUCACCAGCCGUGAUGCUCCCACCUUUCUGGUUCUGCUGAUGGAACAGCAGGACAGGGGAACUGGCACCCCUACAACACCCAGCCUCAUCCAGCUAAGCAAGGCACUGCCAUGAUAUUCCCAGAUCACAGCGUGUCCUGCUCUGGUUUGGGCCCAGCACUAUGUAUAGGCUAAAGCAGAAAAUAACACCAAGAAGUACUAUAGCCAUGUUUCCAGCAUUACUACAGUUACAUGUACUUUUGAAGCCUAGUAUAAAGCUGCAUGGAGACAACUUCAAGUUCAGAAAUAAUAAUUCUUUUUUCCCCACUGAAAUAAUGCAUCUGUCCUGUGUUACACACCUGCAGCAUACAGUGCAGCACCCAAGCAGGUGCUGUGCACUAGGACAGCAACUCCAACCUCCCACCAUAAAGCAAUAAACCACUGUAUUCCAGAGAGACAGUUUUGAGUUCUUUGGGGACAGAGAAUUAAAGGUCAGCUUCUUGGUGUAGAACUACAAUGCAAUGGGAAGUAUGGCACUAAUACCAGGAUAGCACAAUCCUAGGCUGCAGCAAAUGAAGACAAGCCCCCAAAAAAGCAGGUAUGAACACAGAAACAAAGAAAAACUGCUUACCUUUGAAGGCCACAGGUAGAGGUCUCCUACAAGAUAAUCUGACCUCCACUGCCAACCCUUAAAUGAGGUCUGGGAAGGGGUGGAUCCUGGCUGCUCCCCUUCCGGUCACUCAGCUCCAUUACAUGCACCUGAGCUCCCCUGGGUUGGCCCUGCCUUCCCACCAGGUGCUCAAUCACUGCUUCAGGCUGUGACUUAGCAUUUCUGCUACACGCUUGGCCAUGCAAAAAAAUCAGUAAUCAGGAGUUUCUACAGGAGGCACUCACUAAGCCUGGCUGAGUUGUUGUCAGCUCGUCACUGUGCUGAUGGCACGUGAAAUGGGAAGGAACUGAAAAGUCACAUGAGCUAUUACUUCUUGAAAAUUCCUGAGUGUAGGGGUGCAGGAUGGUUGAAAUGCAUGUGGUGAGGGAGGAACAGCACUGAUCCCUGAUUCUGUUAUGGAGGACCUGCCCCAGGAGACUCAUGACACAGGCUGCCCAGAGGGGUGGUGGAAUCCCUGUCUCUGAAAGUGUUCAAGAAGCAUGGAGAUGCAGCACUGAAAGCCAUGGUUAGCAGGCAUGGUGGGGAUGGGUUAUGGUUGAACUUGGUGAUCUUGGAGAUCUUUUCCAACCUGAAUGAUCCUACGGUUCUAUGUGUCACAGCACCUGCUGCACAUGGGCGUUCCUGGAGGGAAAUGGGUGGUGUGGGGCAUGCUGUAGGGCUUGCUGUAGGGAUGAGGAUAGAAGACAUGGUGUAUGAACAGCUACUUUGUGAGAUGAACAUCUGCAGAGAAAGUUUUCCUUCAGGCCUGGAACUCCAUCGUGGAGUGACUGUUGGUCUCCUGGCCAACCAGCCACAUCAGCACAGGUCUCCAGGGCAGAGAGGAGCAGCGGGGUACAUAGCACAGUCAUGAGAUGAGGGUGACUGGAAAUAUCUAAAAGACCCUGAGAGGUUAAACUGUACCCUAUGAGCUCUGGGAGCUCUCUGACAGCUGUGGGCUUACUGCUGGAAGACAGUCAAGCAGCAUAAGACAGUCUUUACAAACAGGUGAGAUGCUGGUCUUUAAGAACAUUUAAGGAAUGGGGUUUUAGCUGUGAUGUUUAAUUAGGUAUUUAUUUAAUCUGCCAGAUCCAACAGGUGUAGGUAAUUUGGAACAGCUGAGGACACAUCGACUUGUGUAAUGUUAAGGGAAUGUUCCCUUCCAGAGGGGAAGGGGGGAAGUAGUGUCUAUUAGCAUAACUAUCUUCUCACACAUCCUCUCUUGUCUCUGCGUAAUAUCCAAUGUAUUGUGGGUCCCUGUCAGCAAAACGAAACAAUGAUCCUCGCCCCGUGGGUCUGUUAUUGUUGAUUUAUGAAGUACUCACAGCUAGUUGUGUUAGAUGUGCCCCUCCACUGUGAGAAACAAUUACUGAGCAUGCAGUGGUGCAAGGCAGUGCUGUUGUUAUUACGUAUAAAGGCAUCUUCAGAAUGUAUUUGUUAGGCACUUCAACAACCUUAAGGAAACCCAUCUAGAAAUAAACAUAGCCGGUCUAAUGUAUGUAAUGAAUGUAACGGGCCAUUCUUCCACAUUAAGAACAAAUCUAGUAGGGUGAUUGAGCAAAGCCAAACGUCUCCAGGAAAUUCCUUUAUAAUACAUGAUUGAAUUAUUGUUUUUCUAUUAGGGCAGCCAAAACAUUCAGUGUCCUUGACAAUACAGGAUGUGUGCCGUAAGUUUUUGCCACUAAGCUAGGCAUACUGUAUCUGGAUACGUGCCCAGCUAUUUCAGUAUUUCCAUUUGAAUGAUUUAUUCAUUUUCCAGAGAAAGACUACAGAAGUUAUACAGAACUCUGCAAAUUUCUUUCAGAUUGUACAAAAGAGCUAGGUGCCUGGCUGCCAAAUGAAUGAAAUCUAAGGAAUCCAGAGGCAUUUACAGCAAAGCUGAGAUUUUCCUAAUGGACACCUAUAAGUUAUGCUCGUGAAGCCCCUAAAUCUUUUCUCAAUAGAAACUGGGCACCUAGCUCCCUUUGCAAAUCCUCAUCUCAAGCCUGCAUUCAAGUCCCUGAGUAAGUAUCCUGACUUACAAAAAUGUUGGCCCUGCAGCUGCAACUACAUAUGCUAUGAGAAGCUGCUGAAUAGCAAAUGUGAAAAUUGGAUUAUUUAUUCAUGUCUGGAGCCUAACUUGAAAUGCCUUUUAAAACCUAGAACCAGUACUUCCACCCACCGAAGCAGCACAGAACAAAGUGCUUUGCAAACUUCUCAGCUCGUGAUGUGAAACUAUGAAUGCAUCGAUGUAGCAGAAACAAACUGAGAAAUUGGUGUUCCAAAGUGGUAGUUUAAGCUCUGUUCCUCUUUCCCAACCCCCACACCACCCAUAAGCUGUUGUUGUGAUACAUAGGAGUAGGAAGCAAAAUAUUUUACAUAUUUUGGUGAUGGUUUUUUUUGGAAGGACAUUGUGUAUUUCAGACAUGUACCUGCACCGUCUCUCUGGGUUUGCAGCUAUAAAAUGUACAUAAUCAUUACCUCACUUUGUUUUCCGGAAGUAUGGUAAUGACUUUGAGAUAUCCUGAAAACCAACAUGUAAGCAUCGACGUAGUUAUGUGUGAGAGGAGAUGGGGAGGAGAACUCUGAGUUUUUCAACUGUAGCUUGGGAAAAGGUGCUGUGUAUUAGUGUCAAGUCCUAACGUUGUCUAUAAGAUCUUAUGACUCAUUUCCUGUCGCACAGCUUUCUCCCUUCUAUCUUCUUCAUAGGGGAGGGCAAGUAUUUUUCUUCUGUGAAUAAAACAUUUGCCCCACAAAAGUAGUCUCAGGUCAAAUUAGUCAUGUAGUUGCAGCUGAAAACUAUUUUUGGCCCAGGUUUACAGCACUGAAGAGGAUAUCCAGAUCUUUUACCAAGUACUUAAGGCACUCAGCCAAGAUGUGGGAGAUGCAGGUUCAGCUCUCCCUGGGGAAAGGCAUUUGAAUCCUGCCUCUAGGAAAUAACUAUCAUCAGCAUCUUGCUCUAUAGGGAAUGGUGCGAUGAGAGAGAAAACACAAAUCAUUCAAGCAACUCAAAACUUGAACAACACUGUGUCUCCAUUAAGCUGAGGGUCCUUCCUCAGCUCCCAUUCUCCAGGGAACGUGGAUGGGUGAGUGCUGGGACAUCAAAUCAGUG
rnacentral:lncRNA from 1 species